CGCGUGCUACAGGCUUAACACAUGCAAGUCGAGGGGCAGCAGGAUCUAGCAAUAGAUUGCUGGCGACCGGCGCACGGGUGAGUAACACGUAUCCAACCUGCCGAUAACUCGGGGAUAGCCUUUCGAAAGAAAGAUUAAUACCCGAUAGUAUAAUCAGACCGCAUGGUUUGAUUAUUAAAGAAUUUCGGUUAUCGAUGGGGAUGCGUUCCAUUAGGCAGUUGGUGAGGUAACGGCUCACCAAACCUUCGAUGGAUAGGGGUUCUGAGAGGAAGGUCCCCCACAUUGGAACUGAGACACGGUCCAAACUCCUACGGGAGGCAGCAGUGAGGAAUAUUGGUCAAUGGGCGCAGGCCUGAACCAGCCAAGUAGCGUGAAGGAUGACUGCCCUAUGGGUUGUAAACUUCUUUUAUAUGGGAAUAAAGUUUUCCACGUGUGGAAUUUUGUAUGUACCAUAUGAAUAAGGAUCGGCUAACUCCGUGCCAGCAGCCGCGGUAAUACGGAGGAUCCGAGCGUUAUCCGGAUUUAUUGGGUUUAAAGGGAGCGUAGGUGGACAGUUAAGUCAGUUGUGAAAGUUUGCGGCUCAACCGUAAAAUUGCAGUUGAUACUGGCUGUCUUGAGUACAGUAGAGGUGGGCGGAAUUCGUGGUGUAGCGAUGAAAUGCUUAGAUAUCACGAAAAACUCCGAUUGCGAAGGCAGCUCACUGGACUGCAACUGACACUGAUGCUCGAAAGUGUGGGUAUCAAACGGGAUUAGAAACCCUGGUAGUCCACACAGUAAACGAUGAAUACUCGCUGUUUGCGAUAUACAGUAAGCGGCCAAGCGAAAGCAUUAAGUAUUCCACCUGGGGAGUACGCCGGCAACGGUGAAACUCAAAGGAAUUGACGGGGGCCCGCACAAGCGGAGGAACAUGUGGUUUAAUUCGAUGAUACGCGAGGAACCUUACCCGGGCUUAAAUUGCAUUUGAAUAAUCUGGAAACAGGUUAGCCGCAAGGCAAAUGUGAAGGUGCUGCAUGGUUGUCGUCAGCUCGUGCCGUGAGGUGUCGGCUUAAGUGCCAUAACGAGCGCAACCCUUAUCUUUAGUUACUAACAGGUCAUGCUGAGGACUCUAGAGAGACUGCCGUCGUAAGAUGUGAGGAAGGUGGGGAUGACGUCAAAUCAGCACGGCCCUUACGUCCGGGGCUACACACGUGUUACAAUGGGGGGUACAGAAGGCAGCUACCUGGUGACAGGAUGCUAAUCCCAAAAGCCUCUCUCAGUUCGGAUCGAAGUCUGCAACCCGACUUCGUGAAGCUGGAUUCGCUAGUAAUCGCGCAUCAGCCAUGGCGCGGUGAAUACGUUCCCGGGCCUUGUACACACCA
rnacentral:rRNA from 1 species